AGUGAACGCUGGCGGUAGGCCUAACACAUGCAAGUCGAACGGCAGCACAGUAAGAGCUUGCUCUUACGGGUGGCGAGUGGCGGACGGGUGAGGAAUACAUCGGAAUCUACUUUUUCGUGGGGGAUAACGUAGGGAAACUUACGCUAAUACCGCAUACGACCUACGGGUGAAAGCAGGGGAUCUUCGGACCUUGCGCGAUUGAAUGAGCCGAUGUCGGAUUAGCUAGUUGGCGGGGUAAAGGCCCACCAAGGCGACGAUCCGUAGCUGGUCUGAGAGGAUGAUCAGCCACACUGGAACGGAGACACGGUCCAGAGUCCUACGGGAGGCAGCAGUGGGGAAUAGUGGACAAUGGGCGCAAGCCUGAUCCAGCCAUACCGCGUGGGUGAAGAAGGCCUUCGGGUUGUAAAGCCCUUUUGUUGGUAAAGAAAAGCAGCAGGUUAAUACCCCGCUGUUCUGACGGUACCCAAAGAAUAAGCACCGGCUAACUUCGUG
rnacentral:rRNA from 1 species